UUAAGCGACUAAGCGUACACGGUGGAUGCCCUGGCAGUCAGAGGCGAUGAAGGACGUGCUAAUCUGCGAUAAGCGUCGGUAAGGUGAUAUGAACCGUUAUAACCGGCGAUUUCCGAAUGGGGAAACCCAGUGUGUUUCGACACACUAUCAUUAACUGAAUCCAUAGGUUAAUGAGGCGAACCGGGGGAACUGAAACAUCUAAGUACCCCGAGGAAAAGAAAUCAACCGAGAUUCCCCCAGUAGCGGCGAGCGAACGGGGAGCAGCCCAGAGCCUGAAUCAGUGUGUGUGUUAGUGGAAGCGUCUGGAAAGGCGCGCGAUACAGGGUGACAGCCCCGUACACAAAAAUGCACAUGCUGUGAGCUCGAUGAGUAGGGCGGGACACGUGGUAUCCUGUCUGAAUAUGGGGGGACCAUCCUCCAAGGCUAAAUACUCCUGACUGACCGAUAGUGAACCAGUACCGUGAGGGAAAGGCGAAAAGAACCCCGGCGAGGGGAGUGAAAAAGAACCUGAAACCGUGUACGUACAAGCAGUGGGAGCACGCUUCGGCGUGUGACUGCGUACCUUUUGUAUAAUGGGUCAGCGACUUAUAUUCUGUAGCAAGGUUAACCGAAUAGGGGAGCCGAAGGGAAACCGAGUCUUAACUGGGCGUUAAGUUGCAGGGUAUAGACCCGAAACCCGGUGAUCUAGCCAUGGGCAGGUUGAAGGUUGGGUAACACUAACUGGAGGACCGAACCGACUAAUGUUGAAAAAUUAGCGGAUGACUUGUGGCUGGGGGUGAAAGGCCAAUCAAACCGGGAGAUAGCUGGUUCUCCCCGAAAGCUAUUUAGGUAGCGCCUCGUGAAUUCAUCUCCGGGGGUAGAGCACUGUUUCGGCAAGGGGGUCAUCCCGACUUACCAACCCGAUGCAAACUGCGAAUACCGGAGAAUGUUAUCACGGGAGACACACGGCGGGUGCUAACGUCCGUCGUGAAGAGGGAAACAACCCAGACCGCCAGCUAAGGUCCCAAAGUCAUGGUUAAGUGGGAAACGAUGUGGGAAGGCCCAGACAGCCAGGAUGUUGGCUUAGAAGCAGCCAUCAUUUAAAGAAAGCGUAAUAGCUCACUGGUCGAGUCGGCCUGCGCGGAAGAUGUAACGGGGCUAAACCAUGCACCGAAGCUGCGGCAGCGACACUAUGUGUUGUUGGGUAGGGGAGCGUUCUGUAAGCCUGUGAAGGUGUGCUGUGAGGCAUGCUGGAGGUAUCAGAAGUGCGAAUGCUGACAUAAGUAACGAUAAAGCGGGUGAAAAGCCCGCUCGCCGGAAGACCAAGGGUUCCUGUCCAACGUUAAUCGGGGCAGGGUGAGUCGACCCCUAAGGCGAGGCCGAAAGGCGUAGUCGAUGGGAAACAGGUUAAUAUUCCUGUACUUGGUGUUACUGCGAAGGGGGGACGGAGAAGGCUAUGUUGGCCGGGCGACGGUUGUCCCGGUUUAAGCGUGUAGGCUGGUUUUCCAGGCAAAUCCGGAAAAUCAAGGCUGAGGCGUGAUGACGAGGCACUACGGUGCUGAAGCAACAAAUGCCCUGCUUCCAGGAAAAGCCUCUAAGCAUCAGGUAACAUCAAAUCGUACCCCAAACCGACACAGGUGGUCAGGUAGAGAAUACCAAGGCGCUUGAGAGAACUCGGGUGAAGGAACUAGGCAAAAUGGUGCCGUAACUUCGGGAGAAGGCACGCUGAUAUGUAGGUGAAGUCCCUUGCGGAUGGAGCUGAAAUCAGUCGAAGAUACCAGCUGGCUGCAACUGUUUAUUAAAAACACAGCACUGUGCAAACACGAAAGUGGACGUAUACGGUGUGACGCCUGCCCGGUGCCGGAAGGUUAAUUGAUGGGGUCAGCGCAAGCGAAGCUCUUGAUCGAAGCCCCGGUAAACGGCGGCCGUAACUAUAACGGUCCUAAGGUAGCGAAAUUCCUUGUCGGGUAAGUUCCGACCUGCACGAAUGGCGUAAUGAUGGCCAGGCUGUCUCCACCCGAGACUCAGUGAAAUUGAACUCGCUGUGAAGAUGCAGUGUACCCGCGGCAAGACGGAAAGACCCCGUGAACCUUUACUAUAGCUUGACACUGAACAUUGAGCCUUGAUGUGUAGGAUAGGUGGGAGGCUUGGAAGUGUGGACGCCAGUCUGCAUGGAGCCGACCUUGAAAUACCACCCUUUAAUGUUUGAUGUUCUAACGUUGACCCGUAAUCCGGGUUGCGGACAGUGUCUGGUGGGUAGUUUGACUGGGGCGGUCUCCUCCUAAAGAGUAACGGAGGAGCACGAAGGUUGGCUAAUCCUGGUCGGACAUCAGGAGGUUAGUGCAAUGGCAUAAGCCAGCUUGACUGCGAGCGUGACGGCGCGAGCAGGUGCGAAAGCAGGUCAUAGUGAUCCGGUGGUUCUGAAUGGAAGGGCCAUCGCUCAACGGAUAAAAGGUACUCCGGGGAUAACAGGCUGAUACCGCCCAAGAGUUCAUAUCGACGGCGGUGUUUGGCACCUCGAUGUCGGCUCAUCACAUCCUGGGGCUGAAGUAGGUCCCAAGGGUAUGGCUGUUCGCCAUUUAAAGUGGUACGCGAGCUGGGUUUAGAACGUCGUGAGACAGUUCGGUCCCUAUCUGCCGUGGGCGCUGGAGAACUGAGGGGGGCUGCUCCUAGUACGAGAGGACCGGAGUGGACGCAUCACUGGUGUUCGGGUUGUCAUGCCAAUGGCACUGCCCGGUAGCUAAAUGCGGAAGAGAUAAGUGCUGAAAGCAUCUAAGCACGAAACUUGCCCCGAGAUGAGUUCUCCCUGACCCUUUAAGGGUCCUGAAGGAACGUUGAAGACGACGACGUUGAUAGGCCGGGUGUGUAAGCGCAGCGAUGCGUUGAGCUAACCGGUACUAAUGAACCGUGAGGCUUAACCUU
rnacentral:rRNA from 1 species